rnacentral:rRNA from 1 species
GCUUCUAAUACGGCUUUUCUUGAGUAUGGGAGAGGGAGACGGAAUUCCAGGUGUAACGGUGGAAUGCGUAGAUAUCUGGAAGAACAUCAGUUGCGAAGACGGUCUCCUGGCCCAAUACUGACACUGAGGCUCGAAAGCUAGGGGAGCAAACAGGAUUAGAUACCCUGGUAGUCCUAGCCGUAAACGAUGGACACUAGAUGUUGGGGGAGUUAUUCCUUCAGUGUCGUAGCUAACGCGUUAAGUGUCCCGCCUGGGGAGUACGCUCGCAAGGGUGAAACUCAAAGGAAUUGACGGGGGCCCGCACAAGCGGUGGAGCAUGUGCUUUAGUUCGAUGCAACGCGAAGAACCUUACCUGGGCUUGACAUGGGAGUGAAAUCCCGUAGAGAUACGGGACUUUCCUUCGGGAACACUCCACACAGGUGCUGCAUGGUUGUCGUCAGCUCGUGUCGUGAGAUGUUGGGUUAAGUCCCGCAACGAGCGCAACCCUCGCCCUUAGUUGCCAGCGGGUAAUGCCGGGAACUCUAGGGGGACUGUCUGGUACAACCAGGAGGAAGGUGGGGAUGACGUCAAAUCAUCAUGGCCCUUACGCCCAGGGCUAGACACGUGCUACAAUGGCUGGUACAACGGGCUGCAAGCUCGCGAGAGCAAGCCAAUCCCUAAAAACCAGCCUCAGUUCAGAUUGGAGUCUGCAAUUCGACUUCAUGAAGGUGGAAUCGCUAGUAAUCGCGGAUCAGCAUGCCGCGGUGAUACGUUCCCGGGCCUUGUACACACCGCCCGUCAAGCCACGAAAGAUGGUAGUACCCGAAGUCGCUACUCUAACCCGCAAGGGAGGAGGGCGCCGAAGGUAAGAUC